rnacentral:rRNA from 1 species
UACGGAGGGGCGAGCGUUGUCCGAAGUUACUGGGCGUAAAGCGCGUGUAGGCGGUUGCCAAGUCCGCUGUGAAAGCCCGAGGCUCAACCUCGGAGGGUCGGUGGAUACUGGCAGUCUUGAAGGUGCUAGGGGGAGAUGGAAUUACCGGUGUAGCGGUGAAAUGCGUAGAGAUCGGUAGGAACACCAGUGGCGAAGGCGGUCUCCUGGGGCAUUCUUGACGCUGAGACGCGAAAGCUGGGGGAGCGAACGGG